rnacentral:rRNA from 1 species
UACGAAGGGGGCUAGCGUUACUCGGAAUUACUGGGCGUAAAGCGUGCGUAGGCUGCGUUGUAAGUUGGUAGUUAAAUUCUUGAGCUCAACUCAAGGUCUGCUAUCAAGACUGCAAUGCUAGAGUACUGGAGAAGAUAGUGGAAUUCCUAGUGUAGAGGUGAAAUUCAUAGAUAUUAGGAGGAACACCAGAGGCGAAAGCGACUAUCUGGCCAGAAACUGACGCUGUUGCACGAAAGCGUGGGGAGCAAACAGG